GCGAGUUACGAUUUGAUGCAAGGUUAAGCAGUAAAUGUGGAGCCGUAGCGAAAGCGAGUCUGAAUAGGGCGUUUAGUAUUUGGUCGUAGACCCGAAACCAGGUGAUCUACCCUUGGUCAGGUUGAAGUUCAGGUAACACUGAAUGGAGGACCGAACCGACUUACGUUGAAAAGUGAGCGGAUGAACUGAGGGUAGCGGAGAAAUUCCAAUCGAACCUGGAGAUAGCUGGUUCUCUCCGAAAUAGCUUUAGGGCUAGCCUCAAGUGAUGAUUAUUGGAGGUAGAGCACUGUUUGGACGAGGGGCCCCUCUCGGGUUACCGAAUUCAGACAAACUCCGAAUGCCAAUUAAUUUAACUUGGGAGUCAGAACAUGGGUGAUAAGGUCCGUGUUCGAAAGGGAAACAGCCCAGACCACCAGCUAAGGUCCCAAAAUAUAUGUUAAGUGGAAAAGGAUGUGGCGUUGCCCAGACAACUAGGAUGUUGGCUUAGAAGCAGCCAUCAUUUAAAGAGUGCGUAAUAGCUCACUAGUCGAGUGACACUGCGCCGAAAAUGUACCGGGGCUAAACAUAUUACCGAAGCUGUGGAUUGUCCUUUGGACAAUGGUAGGAGAGCGUUCUAAGGGCGUUGAAGCAUGAUCGUAAGGACAUGUGGAGCGCUUAGAAGUGAGAAUGCCGGUGUGAGUAGCGAAAGACGGGUGAGAAUCCCGUCCACCGAUUGACUAAGGUUUCCAGAGGAAGGCUCGUCCGCUCUGGGUUAGUCGGGUCCUAAGCUGAGGCCGACAGGCGUAGGCGAUGGAUAACAGGUUGAUAUUCCUGUACCACCUAUAAUCGUUUUAAUCGAUGGGGGGACGCAGUAGGAUAGGCGAAGCGUGCGAUUGGAUUGCACGUCUAAGCAGUAAGGCUGAGUAUUAGGCAAAUCCGGUACUCGUUAAGGCUGAGCUGUGAUGGGGAGAAGACAUUGUGCCUUCGAGUCGUUGAUUUCACACUGCCGAGAAAAGCCUCUAGAUAGAAAAUAGGUGCCCGUACCGCAAACCGACACAGGUAGUCAAGAUGAGAAUUCUAAGGUGAGCGAGCGAACUCUCGUUAAGGAACUCGGCAAAAUGACCCCGUAACUUCGGGAGAAGGGGUGCUCUUUAGGGUUAACGCCCAGAAGAGCCGCAGUGAAUAGGCCCAAGCGACUGUUUAUCAAAAACACAGGUCUCUGCUAAACCGUAAGGUGAUGUAUAGGGGCUGACGCCUGCCCGGUGCUGGAAGGUUAAGAGGAGUGGUUAGCUUCUGCGAAGCUACGAAUCGAAGCCCCAGUAAACGGCGGCCGUAACUAUAACGGUCCUAAGGUAGCGAAAUUCCUUGUCGGGUAAGUUCCGACCCGCACGAAAGGCGUAACGAUUUGGGCACUGUCUCAACGAGAGACUCGGUGAAAUCAUAGUACCUGUGAAGAUGCAGGUUACCCGCGACAGGACGGAAAGACCCCGUGGAGCUUUACUGUAGCCUGAUAUUGAAAUUCGGCACAGCUUGUACAGGAUAGGUAGGAGCCUUUGAAACGUGAGCGCUAGCUUACGUGGAGGCGCUGGUGGGAUACUACCCUAGCUGUGUUGGCUUUCUAACCCGCACCACUUAUCGUGGUGGGAGACAGUGUCAGGCGGGCAGUUUGACUGGGGCGGUCGCCUCCUAAAAGGUAACGGAGGCGCUCAAAGGUUCCCUCAGAAUGGUUGGAAAUCAUUCAUAGAGUGUAAAGGCAUAAGGGAGCUUGACUGCGAGACCUACAAGUCGAGCAGGGUCGAAAGACGGACUUAGUGAUCCGGUGGUUCCGCAUGGAAGGGCCAUCGCUCAACGGAUAAAAGCUACCCCGGGGAUAACAGGCUUAUCUCCCCCAAGAGUUCACAUCGACGGGGAGGUUUGGCACCUCGAUGUCGGCUCAUCGCAUCCUGGGGCUGUAGUCGGUCCCAAGGGUUGGGCUGUUCGCCCAUUAAAGCGGUACGCGAGCUGGGUUCAGAACGUCGUGAGACAGUUCGGUCCCUAUCCGUCGUGGGCGUAGGAAAUUUGAGAGGAGCUGUCCUUAGUACGAGAGGACCGGGAUGGACAUACCUCUGGUGUACCAGUUGUCGUGCCAACGGCAUAGCUGGGUAGCUAUGUGUGGACGGGAUAAGUGCUGAAAG
rnacentral:rRNA from 1 species